CCAAGGAGUCUAACAUGUGCGCGAGUCACUCGGUCUUGAAUAGGCCAGAGAGGCACAAUGAAAGUAAAGUUGAUUGAGUUACGAUCCUUAGUUGAUUUACCCUUAAGUGGGUAACGCUGAGGCGCAGUAACAGCCCGCCAAUUUCGCUUGUUGACGAUAUGGCGGAGUUGUAGCGUACACGUUGGUACCCGAAAGAUGGUGAACUAUGCCUGGGCAAGACGAAGCCAGAGGAAACUCUGGUGGAGGUCUGUAGCGAUUCUGACGUGCAAAUCGAUCGUCAGACCUGGGUAUAGGGGCGAAAGACUAAUCGAACCAUC
rnacentral:rRNA from 2 species